AGAUUGGAACUCCGUGGCGUGGCGGAAUAAAUGGCUCCAUUUUGGCAGGAGAAACACGUACCUAUCGUUUUGUUGCUGAUCAGCUCUCUCAUAUUUGCUUGAGAUACAAGAAGAGGAAGAAAAACUAGGCAACCCACAUGCGAAGCAACAAGCUCUUCUAUGUCAAGAGUGC